CUACGGGCGGCACCAGUGGGGAAUAUUGCACAAUGGGCGCAAGCCUGAUGCAGCCAUGCCGCGUGUAUGAAGAAGGCCUUCGGGUUGUAAAGUACUUUCAGCGGGGAGGAAGGGAGUAAAGUUAAUACCUUUGCUCAUUGACGUUACCCGCAGAAGAAGCACCGGCUAACUCCGUGCCAGCAGCCGCGGUAAUACGGAGGGUGCAAGCGGUAAUCGGAGUUACUGGGCGUAAAGCGCACGCAGGCGGUUUGUUAAGUCAGAUGUGAAAUCCCCGGGCUCAACCUGGGAACUGCAUCUGAUACUGGCAAGCUUGAGUCUCGUAGAGGGGGGUAGAAUUCCAGGUGUAGCGGUGAAAUGCGUAGAGAUCUGGAGGAAUACCGGUGGCGAAGGCGGCCCCCUGGACGAAGACUGACGCUCAGGUGCGAAAGCGUGGGGAGCAAACAGGAUUAGAUACCCGAGUAGUC
rnacentral:rRNA from 1 species